rnacentral:lncRNA from 1 species
GAAAUCGAAUCCACCAUCACUCUCAGUCUCACUCUUAGUGCUCUGAAUUUUUCAAUCUCGCUCUGCCUCCUCAAUCUCUCAGUUUUCUGAAUCUCUCGAUCUUGUUCUGCCUCCUCAAUUUUUGGUUUUGCCUCUUCUCGAUCUCUCGCUCUGCCUCGUCGAUCUCAUGCAUGAUUCAAUCUCAGACUCAAUCUCAUUCCAGUAAGG